UAUCGCAGCUGUGCCCUGGAGCUGUGUCCUCAGAGCCUUUUACUUGCCCUUUGCAAAAAGAAAAAGAGGGUUGAUCGGAAGGGAAAUUGAAAAGAGAGAUUGAGGAUGCUACAGGAUAACUUGGAAAGGUUCAAAGACAUCUUUUAGAGGCAAUUGGAGUACCUCAGUCUUGCCAUGGUGGAUCCAUAUUGUGGCUCAGUUGAUUUCUUCAUGGAGGACAUCAUACGGUUCAUAAGAAUUCUCUCUGUGAAGACAGUGAAGACACAAACAUACAAGAAGGAGCGAGAGAGGGAGAGGGAGAGACAGAGAGAAACAGAGAGACAAAGUGUGUGUGAGAGAGACG